rnacentral:tRNA from 2 species
GGGGGCGGAUCGGGCCUGGUGGCUCGUGCGGUCUUCAAAACCGUUGGGAGACGCCUGAGGCGGCUCUGGUGGGUUCGAUUCCCACACGCUCCCGCCA